UUGUGUUUGUUGGUGAACUACUCUCGAAAGAGAUGAAAAGAGGGGCGAAGAGAAGAGCGUUCUUGCCAGAGCAUUGGAUGCUGGGAGGAAAGAGGUAGGCGAGUAAGGGUUGGCGAGGAGGGUGGUGGCGUCAACGGGGUGUGACUCGCAAAAGGAGGAAAUCUAUUGCCGGAAGUGAGUAUAUUCAAGCGGCAGUCUGCGGUGCGUGUAUGGAAAUUCGAGACCGCCCUACCACGAAAGGGUCCUUCCCGAAACCCAAGGGAAGCCGCACGCGACGACGAUUUGCUCGAAGAAGAAAAAAAACGGAAAGACUGCAGAAGAAAAAGAAAAAGAAGAUAGAUUUUCGGCUGUCGUCGAAAAUAAGAAAUGUAAAAAGGUCGACGUUGGAACAAACAAAAAGAUACAAUUUUCAGAAAGCAAAAACGUCGAAGCGAAUGAUACGUGGUACUGCGUGCGAAAAAACACGUCGGCCAAGUCCCACGGCUCCUUGGAUCGCAGUCUAAUAAUCGCGAGAGAUACAGUGCUCAUGCGAGGUAAUUCCAAUCAGAAAUUAAGUCGAGGCCUAUCGGAGAUCGCAAGAUGGAUCGUGUCUCUCCCCCUCUCUCUCUUUUCUUCAACAAAGAACAAGAAGAAGCGUUGCGGAGGUGAAGGAGGUAGACGAUAUGAAAGGAGGAGAGGGAGAAAGGAUGGGGAAGGAGUAUGGUGGCAGGAUGCUGUGCUCUUGUCUGAUUCAUAUAAUGAAAUGUCUGCGAGUUGAUGAGCUCGGAGGCCCGGUAAGUAUAGCGUUGAGUCCUGGCCCGUGACCCUCGUCCUGUAAGAAGAAAAAGAGCCGAGGGCAAGAAAGGAAUACGAAGGGGAUGGAGAGAGAAAGAUAAAGAGAGGAAGAGAAAGAGAGGGAGAGAAAGAGAAAAGCAGAAGAGAAGAGAAUCGAAUACAUCACGUCGCGUACGAGAUUCAUCUCAUAGUUCUCACCUAACAAUAAGUACUUAGUAUUUCACGAAUGUCUCGUUAAUGCGAUACUUGUCCGUUCUUCGCAUGAUAUUACAGACAUUUAUAAAUAUUCUCCAUAGAUGAAAUUAUGCUAUAUUGUUUCAACAUAAUAAUCAUAAAAUUGAUAAAAUUGUAGUGGUUCAUA